UACGUAGGGUGCGAGCGUUAAUCGGAAUUACUGGGCGUAAAGGGCGCGUAGGCGGCCACUGCAAGUCGGUUGUGAAAUCUCCGGGCUUAACCCGGAAAGGUCAAUCGAUACUGCAGGGCUAGAGUGCAGAAGGGGCAACUGGAAUUCUCGGUGUAGCGGUGAAAUGCGUAGAUAUCGAGAGGAACACCUGCGGCGAAGGCGGGUUGCUGGGCUGACACUGACGCUGAAGCGCGAAAGCUAGGGGAGCGAACGGG
rnacentral:rRNA from 1 species